CCUCAAACAAUACAGAGAUAAGUAAUUAAUUAUCGUUAUAACUAUUAUCUAUAUCAGUUUCUAAAUUACAAUUACUAGUAUAUAUACUUCAGACCGAAUGGCCGGGCAGUAAAGGUUUCAGGCUGUAGUUCUGGAGUACUCGAAAUCGAACCCAACAGAGUCGAAAAACCUCAGGAACUUUUUGAGUGGUCCAUUUGAAUAUGUGGGUCUGGCCGAAUUCCUAAUGGGCUUGCUAAUAAAAGGCUUUUUUAAAAUGUAUCUACCCUUUAUGUUCUUGUAUCCUGUAGUCAGUUUGGACUGUUCAGAUAAUAUUAGUAUCCGUAUCAAUUCUAAAUUAUGAUGGCUGAGAGAAGAGAUGGAGGGAUGAGAAAAUUCCAAUCCCGUCUACGAGUAACAUUUAUCAGCAGGACUUUCAACCGAAACUUAAAUAUAAUGCAUUCAGUUUUUUUAAUGAAAAAUGUGGAAAAAAUCGUUGGAAAACUAUUUUACGAAUAUUUAUGAUGCUUUUUGAAUGAAAAGUGGGGAAAAAAUACGAAAAUGAGUAAAUAAAUAAAUAAAUAAAAAAGGUGUUUGUCUAUUUACUUACUGUCCAAGCUGUUGCAAGGAGAAACUAUCAACGGAAAUUAAUAAACCCAAAAUAAAUGAUUCUAAUGAUAACAAACGAAGAGAAAUAUUAAUCAUUGACUACAUUACCAUUAUUAUUUAUUUUUUUAUUUUUUGAGGGCCGAGUGAUACAAGUGCAUAAAAGGCCUCAGUAACUGCAGACUCUGGGUCGUUUAUACACUUUACUCUCUUAUAAUUGGCCCAAAUUGAUCAUGGGCCAUUGGUUAUU